CCCAGGACUCCGUCUCUUGCCAGUGAAAGUUAUGUUAGGAAGCAGUGAGGGGUCUAAAGCAGUAUGAAAGGCAAAGAGAAAAGGUGAUUGUUCCCUCUUGAAUGGCCCUUGGAAGCUGAGUAUCUGGAUUCACCCUCCCUAGGGAAUUUCCCGAUUGUCUUGCAGGCUUACACACUCAUCAAGAUGACAAAAAUAAUGACAGUAACACUUAUGUGGAACUUGACUUUUUCCCAGGUGCUGCUCUAAGCAUUUACUGUGUUUGUUUUACAGGAAGGAAGACUGUACACAGAGAAUAAAUAACUUGGCCAAGCCAUUCAGCUAGGAAGUUGUAGAUCCUAAAUUAAGAGUUCAAGGUCUUAAUGGCUACUCUAUGCGGCCUCUCAUAGUCUUUUCAAGGGUUUUGGAGAAGAAUAAAAGAUCAGUCAUCCACAGAUGUUUGAGUGGUUACAAUGUGCCAGCCUCCCUUCUAGGUACUGGAGAUAAAGUGGGACAAGAGAGGUGAGGUCUGGACCCUUGGCACUUUCACGAUAAAAUACACAGGCAUUGCUUUUGAACUCAGUCAUCUUUUCCCCCUUGCCCACUAGUUGCUUGUGAUACAUCAGUAUCCUCACUCACCCCCAACUCCAGAGGCUGAAACUAACUCUCCUCCUCCCUCUUCCAACUGCUGAGGAAGAUGAGUCAAUGGUGUUACUGGACCCUGUGAACUGAUGCUGUGAAGAGAGGCCAUUUAACACGGACUACGGGGAAUGGUGCCACAGGGGGCUCAGUGCUGCCCUUCACUCUCAGCAUUUUGCUCACUCAGCAUUGGUAAGCCACAUCAGCCUCGGUGAAGGAAGUCUGGAGAGUUAAGCCUGUGCUUCAUCUCCAUGCCAGCACCAUGGCACUCAUUGUACAUUCAGCAAGCCCCAAGGAAGCUGGCAGGAGGCUGGCUGACAUCUACGGGACAGGUCAAUUUGUUCUCUGGAGGGCACUCCAUGAGACGCAAAUAUCUUCACACCCUGUGCCCAUUUCAAGAGACUCUCUCACAUGCCUCCCCCACCUUGACCUCUGUGUCACCAGUCUUUCAAUCUUGUUUUUUCCAAAUCCUUAAGGUAGCAGCUGGCCAACACAUUAGCCACCACUGAUGAGUCAGUGUAGAUCUUACAUUGGGCCAUCUCUUUUUUCUUGCAAAAUAGAAAAGCAGAUGUUCUGCUCAAAGUUCUGUUUGUCAGUAAGAUUUCCCUUUCUGCUGUGUUUCAGGACAUCCCUGGGAGGGACUCUGAUGCAGCAGCCAUCUACUUAUUGCUAGUGCCAGCUUACUUUGCAUAACAUUGACUCCUUUCCCUCAUCUGUUGCCUAGUUGUAGGAAACUCCUUGUGAAGCUAUAGGUGUGCACUGAGGGAGAGACAUUGAGUCAAUGGGAGCAGGCAUCAUAGAGUCUAAGUUUUCUGCUAGUCUGAGUUUCUUGUGCCUUGUGGACCUGGUGGGCUUAUCUCCUUUAUCAUAUAGAUACAAUUUUCGCUUAAUAAUAGCAUGCUCCUGCAAAUGCCCAAUUUUAUCAUGUGGUAGAUUAGGCAACACUCAGUUUAUUAGGGUAGCUAGGUUGUGCAGUUACUUGAUGUUAUGGAUUGAAUUGUGUCCCUCCAAAAGAUAUAUUAGAAUCCCAACCUUUAGGACUUCAGAGUGUGACAUUAUUUGAAUAUAGGGUCUUUACAGAGUUAAUCAAUUUUUUUGAAUCUUAUAUAGCUUUUAUUUCAG
rnacentral:lncRNA from 10 species